CUCGUACUCGCCUGUUAAUGUCGAACUACGUUACCAAUCUAUGGAUUUUAGCCACAGUUUGCACGGUGCUGUGCCAGCUUCAGGCAUGGAUUAGUUUUGCAGCAUGCUAAGUAGAAGAGCGAAGCAAACAGAAGAUUUUGAAAGAGGGAGAAGAUAUUAAAGUGGAAAAAGAACAAUUUUGAUGGCCUCAGAAAGGAUCUGCAGGCAUGGACUAGGAUAGUCUGUUUUCUGUUUGUUGUCUUCUGCACUCUGGUUGAACGCCCUAGUUAAGCGGUCUUUCAUUGAUUCGGUUAUGGUUAUUAUGCUAUAGAUUUACUGAGUAAUCGCACAAGAAAAUGAACCUCAGAGUUGUAUCUAGUGACAUAUAUGUACUUCAAUAAUAAAUUUAAUUUGAACUUUAACUGUCAAAAAUUCUCCUUAUUGGAAGUCAAAUAUUAUCAAAUGUCAAAUUCAUCCAAACUGACACAUUUAGUU